AUGUUCAUGGAAAAUCAUACAAGCUUCAUUACAAAUAUAUUUGAGGAAAAUUACAAAGAAGUUACACCAAAAUCCAUCCUAAACAUAAUAUUUAACAUUUAUCUUCUAGUCCUAAACAUCCCUUUGUCCUUGCUCCUAAUCUUUAAGCUUCAUGAGUCAAAUCCUUUCCAUGCCUUUGUGUACCAAGAAAAAGGGUUCAAAUCCAAGCAUGUUUGUUCUCUGAUCGAACUUGCCAAUCACAUGUCAUGCUUUGCACAACAAAAAAAUAAGUAUUACCAUCAAACUUGCUCCGCAUCAACAUAA